AUCAUCAAAAUUACUAGAAAUUCAUGUUAAGACCGAUAAUAUGUCAAUGGUUAAUCUAGAAACAUAUAAUAACCAAACAUCCAAUUAACCAUUAAAUGAUCAUGAACCAUCAUGCCAUCAAAAGAACGCUCAAAAUAAAUUUUAUCCAAAAUCAUAUUGUAUGCUCCCCCUAAAUAUAUGGCCAAUUAAAAACUUUAACCAAAAUGAUAUUAUCCAAAAACAUAUCAUAUUUAUCUCCCCUUUCAAAAGAAUAGAAAUUAACCAAAAUGAUAUUAUCCAAAAACAUAUCAUAUUUAUCUCCCCUUUCAAAAGAAUAGAAAUUAACCAAAAUGAUAUUAUCCAAAAACAUAUCAUAUUUAUCUCCCCUUUCAAAAGAAUAGAAAUUAACCAAAAUGAUAUUAUCCAAAAACAUAUCAUAUUUAUCUCCCCUUUCAAAAGAAUAGAAAUUAACCAAAAUGAUAUUAUCCAAAAACAUAUCAUAUUUAUCUCCCCUUUCAAAAGAAUAGAAAAAUGCAAUCGAAACAAGAGCAUAAAAAAUAAUUCGAUAAGGAUAUUACCAAUUUUGUGCGAGGAAAAAUUUCAGCAGAGUCUCCCCUUAAAAUGCACAAAUCCUCAAAUACACAUUGUGAUUAAUAACACUUCCAUAUAAGCUUAAACAAUUAUAACAAACCAACAACUCCAUUAAUUCAUCAAGCGGCACAUAUAUAAUCAUCAAACAUCAAAUUCAAUAUGAAUUCCCUGAACACUUGUAACAAUUAUAUCCGAGGAUAAAACAUUUUAAUUAAAUUUUCAUAGUAUUGCUCCUUAAUAACUAAAACAUUUUUUUUAAGCCCAUAGCAAUGAAAAAAUAACUAAGAGAUUUGUCACAAAUUUUUAAAUUCUUCAAAUUACAAAGAUUAACAAAAUAAGGAGCGAUAAUCGACCUCGACAUAAAAUUGUCGUAAAACCAUUUCCGAAGAGGUAGAUGCUGAAAGUGGGUUGAUAUGAACUCCGUAUUAUCUCCAUAAUUUUCCUUACAUCUCUUAGGCAACUUGUUUGCUCAUGGAUUUAUCACCAUCCACCAUUGUUGGAACAAAAACAAGCUUAAAGAUCCAAUUUCGGGUGUACAAAAAUUGAGUGAAAUGGAUUUGUUUGAGCCAAGAAAAUCGAUCCUAGAGAUGAAUGAAGCUAAUAUAUGAUGUAGAUUGGAUCAAAAAUGGGCUAAAGGAGGCUUGAAAAUGUAGAGAGAGAAACGGGUAGAGUUAGGUUUUUGAUUUUGGGUUUAAUGUGGAGAGUUGAUGAAAUGAAGUUUUGAGAACGAAAAUUGAAGGAGUAAUGGAUGAAUAAUGAUUUGGAUGAUUGAUUUUAACAAGAAAAUGAGUGAAAGAUGAAGAAUUUUGAGAGAGAAAUGGUGAGGUACUGUUCACUCGUGAGAGAUGAUGAUGAAAUGGUGAAAAAUAAGUGAAGAAAUCAUGAUGGAGAAGUGUUUAAUGAAGAUGAAAUGCAUGGGUAUUAGUUUGAAUGGUUGAUUUGGGCAUGAAAAUGGAUGAAAAAGGAAGAAAAUGGAGGUGAAAAUGGAGAGGAUGUUCACGGUUUUGGUGAGAGAAGAGAAACAUGUGCAGAAAAAUCACGAAGGAAGAAGAACAAGCAAAAAAAAAUUUCCCAACCAGUGACCAAGCGGCUAGCCGCUUGCUCUCGGGUUUGGGACAGUUUUCCAAGCGGCUAGCCGCCUGGUUGCUGUCCACUUGCACUCUACUUGCUUUUCGGCUUGUUUCUAUCAAUUCCGUGAUCAUUUUGUGAUCCCGAAACAUCUCAAGAGCCAAUUUAAUGCACAAUUCAUGAUUUUAAACAUCCAAAAGAUAAUUAAUUCAAACAAAUAAUCCAUCCAUCAAGCAUACAAUCAUGAAGCAUAUAAGCAUUCAAAACUUAAGAAAAUGCAGAAAGGUCAACUUCGAAAUAAAAACUGUAUUGAUUGAGCCAGAAUUAACAUGCAAGCUAUAUACCGUUGGAAAGAUAAUUAAGUUAGCUUUCCAAUAAAUUUUACAGAGAUGGAUUUGGAGUUCUCUAGAAGGAGUUAUGACCAAUUCAUUACAGCUUGUGCAAACUUGGGAUUUACACAAUAAUUAAACAUAUAAGCAUUCAAAAGUUAAUAAAUCAAACACACCACUUAACUAUCAUGCUUAAACACUUCAUAAACAUUAACAUCAAACAAAUCCAUCAUGAUGAGUUGAUAAACUAUCAUCAUUUAUAUAUAACCUUGCAUCAUGAUAAAACACUCAAUGUUAAACACAAU
rnacentral:lncRNA from 1 species